rnacentral:rRNA from 1 species
UGGGGAAUUUUGGACAAUGGGCGGAAGCCUGAUCCAGCAAUGCCGCGUGUGUGAAGAAGGCCUUCGGGUUGUAAAGCACUUUUGUCCGGAAAGAAAUCCUUGGCUCUAAUACAGUCGGGGGAUGACGGUACCGGAAGAAUAAGCACCGGCUAACUACGUGCCAGCAGCCGCGGUAAUACGUAGGGUGCAAGCGUUAAUCGGAAUUACUGGGCGUAAAGCGUGCGCAGGCGGUUUGCUAAGACCGAUGUGAAAUCCCCGGGCUCAACCUGGGAACUGCAUUGGUGACUGGCAGGCUAGAGUAUGGCAGAGGGGGGUAGAAUUCCACGUGUAGCAGUGAAAUGCGUAGAGAUGUGGAGGAAUACCGAUGGCGAAGGCAGCCCCCUGGGCCAAUACUGACGCUCAUGCACGAAAGCGUGGGGAGCAAACAGGAUUAGAUACCCUGGUAGUCCACGCCCUAAACGAUGUCAACUAGUUGUUGGGGAUUCAUUUCCUAGUAACGUAGCUAACGCGUGAAGUUGACCGCCUGGGGAGUACGGUCGCAAGAUUAAAACUCAAAUGAAUUGACGGGGUCAUAGCUGUUUCCU